UGUUGCGUUCAGGAACCUCGGAGCUGUGUAAACCAGUGUGGUGGUUGCUGUUGCAGUUUCCGAACGAAGCAGCAGAGGUCACUGUUGAAUUAGACUUUGUUGUAGUGAAUCUCUUCACGAGGCAAGAGCAGAGAAAAAAAAUGUGUAUAACACAACAGGGUUUUUUUUUCGUUGUAUGGGGGAGAGUGGGAAUGGUGUUAAUGCAUGAAGAUUUUCUUUUUAAGAAAAUGGAAGGCUUUUAGGUGCGCCUUUUAGUGCGCAAAAUACGCUACCUUUUUUUCUGUAAUAGAUUUCAUACACAAGGCAGCUCAGUGUAAUUUACACAAGUGCUCAGUGGUACAGUGUUUGUUUCCCAAUCCCAGGUUUGGUGAUUGGAUUCCCGACCAUUGUGACCAUGUCAAAGUGUCCUCGAGCAAGAUACUGAACUCCAGUUGCUCCUGAUGCUGCGUCAUCAGUAGGUGAAUGAGGUAAGAGUAUAAAGGGCUUUGAGUAACAGAGGUAGAAAAGCGCUAUAUAAGUGACAGCCCAUUUACCAUUUAUCUUUGCCUUGUUUAUAUUUUAGCAGCUAAAAGCUCAAGCUAACAAAUGACAGCGUCUCGCCCGCCAGUUGUAUGGAUGACAUUCACGCCCACUUAUGGUAACGGAAUGUUGUAAAAUGAGUUCGAAAUGAUCGUGAAGUGUUUUGGGCUGGUAUAUUUGUAACUAAGCAUUUUUAGGAGCUAUAUUAUAUGACUUCUUACUGCAAGAAUUUUUUAAAAUUAUUUUUUUGGAAUCUAGACAAAAUGGAGGACAAGCAGCAUCCAGGAACAGGAAGUGAUUAAUUUAAAGUUUUAUGUUAAGACUUACCGAGCUGCCCAUGUGCGCCAGCGCCUCCUCAGCCCGGUCCACUCUGCUUUUCUUCAUGCUGACGGAAAAAGCCCGAA